ACGAACGCUGGCGGCGUGCCUAAUACAUGCAAGUAGAACGCUGAAGAGAGGAGCUUACUCUUCUUGGAUGAGUUGCGAACGGGUGAGUAACGCGUAGGUAACCUGCCUUGAGGCGGGGGAUAACUAUUGGAAACGAUAGCUAAUACCGCAUAACAAUGGAUGACACAGGUCAUUUAUUUGAAAGGGGCAAUUGCUCCACUACAAGAUGGACCUGCGUUGUAUUAGCUAGUAGGUGAGGUAAUGGCUCACCUAGGCGACGAUACAUAGCCGACCUGGGAGGGUGAUCGGCCACACUGGGACUGAGACACGGCCCAGACUCCUACGGGAGGCAGCAGUAGGGAAUCUUCGGCAAUGGGGGCAACCCUGACCGAGCAACGCCGCGUGAGUGAAGAAGGUUUUCGGAUCGUAAAGCUCUGUUGUAAGUCAAGAACGGGUGUGAGAGUGGAAAGUUCACACUGUGACGGUAGCUUACCAGAAAGGGACGGCUAACUACGUG
rnacentral:rRNA from 1 species